rnacentral:lncRNA from 1 species
UCAAGGUCCUCCCUGGACACGGAAGCCCCCGUCUUCGUCUGCUUCAUCUGGUACGACAGACUGCCUGAGUCUGGGUCAUUUAUAAAGAGCAGAGGUUUCUCCCCCUUAGUUCUGGAGACCGGGAAGCCCAAGACCAAGACACCCGAGUAUUUGGUGUCUGGUGGAGGACCAGCCGCUGGCUCCAAGAUGGUGCCACGACGCUGCCUCUGGCAGAGGGCGGCAGUGCUGUGUGCACUCACAGGGCAGAAGGCCGAAGGCAGGAGCUCUGGAUGCUGCAUGAAGCCCCUUUCAUAAGGGGCCUGAUGCCCUCCGCUCACGAGGGAGGAGUUCCCGUGCCCUGACAGCCUCUUCAUGUUAUCACCUGAAUUUUGGAAACACAUUGAAGUGCAGCACUCUCGGGAAGCUCCUUGUGGCAUCCACACCCCAUGAAUGCUCGAGCCCCUGGCCAGGAUCCUCCUUGUCCUCAGUGGAAAAGCCAGAGCCCGACUCUGCUGACUGUUGCCAGUUGAGGGGUCUGCACUGCGCUGCCACUGCAGAGAGCUCAGUAGCAGCAUGAGCAGCCCUCCGGGUUGCAUGCUUUUCCCUCCAUCUGAAGAUGUGAAGCUGAGGAGGGAGGCAGAGGGCAGCACCUGAGGCCAAAAGGCUGGCAGAAACUCAGCUUUCAAAGGCCUCUGAGCUCCUUCCGCUGCAGCCAUCUCCAGUGAGAAAGCACCCCCUCCUGGUGCCACGGAAACAAGGAUUCUUGGUCCAGUUCCUCCAAGGAGCAGGGCUGCAGCUGCACAGCAGAAGGGAAGUGGGCCGGAGCACGCAUGUCAUUUACAACAUUGAAAUUGGAUUCUUCCCAGCUGGGGAGCCGUCACCCUGUGGAGUCAGAUCAAUGUUCAGAGCACGAUGCAAACUCAUGCUGGGUUUUUGUAUGGGCCUCACCCCAUGGCUUUUGACAGUCAGUUGUUCAGUCAAUAAACAAUUAUUGGGC